rnacentral:rRNA from 1 species
GACGAACGCUGGCGGCGUGCUUAACACAUGCAAGUCGAACGGAAAGGCCCUGCUUGCUGGGUACUCGAGUGGCGAACGGGUGAGUAACACGUGGGUGAUCUGCCCUGCACUUCGGGAUAAGCCUGGGAAACUGGGUCUAAUACCGGAUAGGAGCCAUUUUUAGUGUGGUGGUUGGAAAGUUUUUUCGGUGUAGGAUGAGCGCACGGCCUAUCAGCUUGUUGGUGGGGUAAUGGCCUACCAAGGCGGCGACGGGUAGCCGGCCUGAGAGGGUGGACGGCCACAUUGGGACUGAGAUACGGCCCAGACUCCUACGGGAGGCAGCAGUGGGGAAUAUUGCACAAUGGGCGCAAGCCUGAUGCAGCGACGCCGCGUGGGGGAUGACGGCCUUCGGGUUGUAAACUCCUUUCGCUAGGGACGAAGCUUUUGUGACGGUACCUAGAUAAGAAGCACCGGCUAACUACGUG